rnacentral:rRNA from 1 species
GAUGAACGCUGGCGGCGUGCCUAAUACAUGCAAGUCGAGCGAACGGACGAGAAGCUUGCUUCUCUGAUGUUAGCGGCGGACGGGUGAGUAACACGUGGAUAACCUACCUAUAAGACUGGGAUAACUUCGGGAAACCGGAGCUAAUACCGGAUAAUCUUUUGAACCGCAUGGUGCAAAAGUGAAAGACGGUCUUGCUGUCACUUAUAGAUGGAUCCGCGCUGCUUUAGCUGGUUGGUAAGGUAACGGCUUACCAAGGCAACGAUGCAUAGCCGACCUGAGAGGCUGGUCGGCCACACUGGAGCUGAGACGCGGUCCAGACUCCUACGGGAGGCAGCAGUAGGGAAUCUUCCGCAAUGGGCGAAAGCCUGACGGAGCAACGCCGCGUGAGUGAUGAAGGUCUUCGGAUCGUAAAGCUCUGUUAUUAGGUAAGAACAUAUGUGUAAUUAACUGUGCACAUCUUGACGGUACCUGGUCAGAAAGCCACGGCUAACUACGUG